AGGUGUUUAAUCUAAUUAAGACAAUUGAUUUCGACUCAAUUAAUCGUGGUCCAAACCCACGAAUACCUU
rnacentral:tRNA from 1 species